AGCGGAUGAUUACCAUGCAAACGUACGGGCGGGGGAGACCUCGUCAGUGGCGGACGGGUGAGUAACGCGUAGGUAUCUGUCCUUGGGUGGGGGAUAACCGUGGGAAACUGCGGCUAAUACCGCAUAUGUCCUGAGGGGCAAAGGCCUGAGAGGGUCUCCUGAUGGUGAGCCUGCGUCCGAUUAGCUGGUUGGUGGGGUAAUGGCCUACCUAGGCGAUGAUACGGUACCUGGUCUGAGAGGAUGGUCAGCCAAGCUGGGACUGUGACACGGCCCAGACUCCUACGGGAGGCAGCAUUGGGGAAUAUUGGACAAUGGGCCAAAGCCUGAUCCAGCUAUGCCGCGUGGGUGAAGAAGGUCUUCGGAUUGUAAAGCCCUUUCCGCGGGGACGAUGAUGACGGUACCCGCAGAAAAAGCCCCAGCUAACUUCGUGCCAGCUACCGCGGUAAU
rnacentral:rRNA from 1 species